CCGACCUGUGUUAACGACACAAUGUUGGUUUUAGUCCGAAAGGUAUCGAAUCACACCCUGUUAUCUCAAUUUCGACCGAUAAGCCUAUGCAAUGUCUUUUAUAAGAUAGCUUCGAAGGUACUAGCCAACCGUCUAAAGUCAAUACUUCCAGACAUUAUCUCAGAGGAACAGUCUGCCUUUGUUCCUGGAAGGCUUAUUUCUGAUAAUAUUAUCUCAGCAUAUGAGUGUUUGCAUUUUAUGAAAAGGAACCGGUCAAAGAAAAAUAACCACUGUGCGCUCAAGCUCGACAUGAUGAAG
rnacentral:rRNA from 1 species